GAUUUUGCUCGGCUCGUUCUGCCAAUCUGCUCCAAUUAUUGGCAAUAUAGUGCUAGGAGAGUGCACUUUCUGACAGAUAUUGAAAGCACUGCUUCCACAGUCUUCAAGUCUUUGCCAGCGUGGAUUGCUGGGUCCUGAAAUCAGCUUUCUUCACUAGCAGCACAGUCACAACACCUUCAUUCGUAUGAGUAUGAAACAGAACUGACGUUUCAGGAAGUUGUGACAAUCUGAUGCUCAAGUGUCCAUGGAUCCAGAAAAACAUCUCACUGUCCUUCUGCAAAGAGCAUGGAAGUCCUUCACUCUCACUUGACUGAUCAUCAGAGCCAUGCAGAAGCACAUACAUGUCAAGAAUGGCAUAUAUGGCAUUCAAAGAAGCAUCUCUGUUGCAUACAGGGCUUGUGGAAUUUACAGCACAGAUGAUGGGGGACAACAAAGCCACUAAUCAUCAGGAAGAUUUAAUCAACAUUUUACUUUGGGGAAUUUGGAUACACCUUUUAUUCCUAGCAAAGACUAGCCUGUGAUCUGGUUUAAAGACAAAAUUUAAAAGCACAAGGCAAAAGAAAAGAAAAAUGAACAAACAAAACAGAAAUAAAAUGAGGCUGCUUAUUACUGUUCCUAAAGGAAUCUUUAUUUUCAACUAUGUUUCUUAUUGCUUGAAAAAUUUAAAUCACUUUUAUGAAAAAUAGCUUUUUAUUGGUAUUUGCUAUUACAUAAGGAUCUCCUGAAACAUAAGAAACUAAAAUAAUUGCCAGUUUAGCAAUUAGGUAGCUGUCUUUGGGUAAUUCCACUGCAAUUGUCUCACUCCUACUUUAUCAUGGUGAAGAGUAAUCUCGGUCUAUCUUGCUCCCAGUUGAGUAUACCUCUGCAACACCUUGUUCUCUAAAACUCUGAACAGUUCAUUAAAAUCCUAAGGAAUACUCUAAGUCCUGCAAAAGUCCUCUCUUUUAUUUUUCUUUUCUGUU